rnacentral:rRNA from 1 species
UUAAGCGACUAAGCGUACACGGUGGAUGCCCUGGCAGUCAGAGGCGAUGAAGGACGUGCUAAUCUGCGAUAAGCGUCGGUAAGGUGAUAUGAACCGUUAUAACCGGCGAUUUCCGAAUGGGGAAACCCAGUGUGAUUCGUCACACUAUCAUUAACUGAAUCCAUAGGUUAAUGAGGCGAACCGGGGGAACUGAAACAUCUAAGUACCCCGAGGAAAAGAAAUCAACCGAGAUUCCCCCAGUAGCGGCGAGCGAACGGGGAGCAGCCCAGAGCCUGAAUCAGUGUGUGUGUUAGUGGAAGCGUCUGGAAAGGCGCGCGAUACAGGGUGACAGCCCCGUACACAAAAAUGCACAUGCUGUGAGCUCGAUGAGUAGGGCGGGACACGUGGUAUCCUGUCUGAAUAUGGGGGGACCAUCCUCCAAGGCUAAAUACUCCUGACUGACCGAUAGUGAACCAGUACCGUGAGGGAAAGGCGAAAAGAACCCCGGCGAGGGGAGUGAAAAAGAACCUGAAACCGUGUACGUACAAGCAGUGGGAGCACGCUUCGGCGUGUGACUGCGUACCUUUUGUAUAAUGGGUCAGCGACUUAUAUUCUGUAGCAAGGUUAACCGAAUAGGGGAGCCGAAGGGAAACCGAGUCUUAACUGGGCGUUAAGUUGCAGGGUAUAGACCCGAAACCCGGUGAUCUAGCCAUGGGCAGGUUGAAGGUUGGGUAACACUAACUGGAGGACCGAACCGACUAAUGUUGAAAAAUUAGCGGAUGACUUGUGGCUGGGGGUGAAAGGCCAAUCAAACCGGGAGAUAGCUGGUUCUCCCCGAAAGCUAUUUAGGUAGCGCCUCGUGAAUUCAUCUCCGGGGGUAGAGCACUGUUUCGGCAAGGGGGUCAUCCCGACUUACCAACCCGAUGCAAACUGCGAAUACCGGAGAAUGUUAUCACGGGAGACACACGGCGGGUGCUAACGUCCGUCGUGAAGAGGGAAACAACCCAGACCGCCAGCUAAGGUCCCAAAGUCAUGGUUAAGUGGGAAACGAUGUGGGAAGGCCCAGACAGCCAGGAUGUUGGCUUAGAAGCAGCCAUCAUUUAAAGAAAGCGUAAUAGCUCACUGGUCGAGUCGGCCUGCGCGGAAGAUGUAACGGGGCUAAACCAUGCACCGAAGCUGCGGCAGCGACACUAUGUGUUGUUGGGUAGGGGAGCGUUCUGUAAGCCUGUGAAGGUGUACUGUGAGGUAUGCUGGAGGUAUCAGAAGUGCGAAUGCUGACAUAAGUAACGAUAAAGCGGGUGAAAAGCCCGCUCGCCGGAAGACCAAGGGUUCCUGUCCAACGUUAAUCGGGGCAGGGUGAGUCGACCCCUAAGGCGAGGCCGAAAGGCGUAGUCGAUGGGAAACAGGUUAAUAUUCCUGUACUUGGUGUUACUGCGAAGGGGGGACGGAGAAGGCUAUGUUGGCCGGGCGACGGUUGUCCCGGUUUAAGCGUGUAGGCUGGUUUUCCAGGCAAAUCCGGAAAAUCAAGGCUGAGGCGUGAUGACGAGGCACUACGGUGCUGAAGCAACAAAUGCCCUGCUUCCAGGAAAAGCCUCUAAGCAUCAGGUAACAUCAAAUCGUACCCCAAACCGACACAGGUGGUCAGGUAGAGAAUACCAAGGCGCUUGAGAGAACUCGGGUGAAGGAACUAGGCAAAAUGGUGCCGUAACUUCGGGAGAAGGCACGCUGAUAUGUAGGUGAAGCGACUUGCUCGUGGAGCUGAAAUCAGUCGAAGAUACCAGCUGGCUGCAACUGUUUAUUAAAAACACAGCACUGUGCAAACACGAAAGUGGACGUAUACGGUGUGACGCCUGCCCGGUGCCGGAAGGUUAAUUGAUGGGGUUAGCGCAAGCGAAGCUCUUGAUCGAAGCCCCGGUAAACGGCGGCCGUAACUAUAACGGUCCUAAGGUAGCGAAAUUCCUUGUCAGGU